rnacentral:misc_RNA from 1 species
GUGAAUCAUCAAAUUUUUGAACGCAAAUUGCACUCUCCGCUGAUAGGAUGCCUGUUUGAGGGUCAGCCUAGAAAAAUUGACAUCGUUGCUGUUUCGCGUUGUCGUUCGUCGGAAAUUGGGGCAUUUUAAAUCUUUCUGAUUUAAUCGACUUAAAAUUUGCUUUUGGUUCUAUGAACGUUUCUAAGAUCUAUUUCGUUACACGUUUAAGGUAUCGAUUUUUACUAGACGUGACCGUCAUAUCGGAUCGCGUCCAUAAUCUUUCAUUAACUGACCUCAGACAGGUAAUGGUACCC